UGAAAGAUUCAACCUUUGUGUGUGUGUGUG
rnacentral:piRNA from 1 species